rnacentral:rRNA from 1 species
UACGUAGGGUGCAAGCGUUAAUCGGAAUUCCUGGGCGUAAAGCGUGCGCAGGCGGUGAUGUAAGACAGAUGUGAAAUCCCCGGGCUCAACCUGGGAACUGCAUUUGUGACUGCAUCGCUGGAGUACGGCAGAGGGGGAUGGAAUUCCGCGUGUAGCAGUGAAAUGCGUAGAUAUGCGGAGGAACACCGAUGGCGAAGGCAAUCCCCUGGGCCUGUACUGACGCUCAUGCACGAAAGCGUGGGGAGCAAACAGG